rnacentral:ncRNA from 1 species
CUUCUUAUUAGAGGGUGGCCUCAAAGCCUGAGAUUACACCUUUUGUACCUGCUCUGGGUAAUGCCAGCGAAGGAAUUGAGAAGUAUGGCGUAU